rnacentral:tRNA from 1 species
CGGAAUUGGUAGACGCUACGGACUUGGCUUUAUAGACCGUGAGGGUUCAAGUCCCUCUAUCCCCA